rnacentral:rRNA from 1 species
AAUGAACGCUGGCGGCAGGCUUAACACAUGCAAGUCGAGCGGGCCCGCAAGGGUCAGCGGCGGACGGGUUAGUAACGCGUGGGAACGUGCCUUUUGCUUCGGAAUAGCCCUGGGAAACUGGGGGUAAUACCGGAUGUGCCCUGAGGGGGCAAGAUUUAUCGGCAAGAGAUCGGCCCGCGUUGGAUUAGGUAGUUGGUGGGGUAACGGCCCACCAAGCCGACGAUCCAUAGCUGGUUUGAGAGGAUGAUCAGCAAAACUGGGACGGAGACACGGCCCAGACUCCUACGGGAGGCAGCAGUGGGGAAUCUUAGACAAUGGGCGCAAGCCUGAUCUAGCCAUGCCGCGUGGGUGAUGAAGGCCUUAGGGUCGUAAAGCCCUUUCGCCGGGGAAGAUAAUGACGGUACCCGGUAAAGAAACCCCGGCUAACUCCGUGCCAGCAGCCGCCGUAA